rnacentral:sRNA from 1 species
UGAUCUUGUACAAUCUCGAAUAUUUCGCAC